UGUGAGGCCGACGCCGGCUUCUGGAGGACAGGUCAGACAGACAGACGAACCCAAAACAUGUCAGGGUUGCGGUGUCAUAUGUCGCUGCCCGUGUCGGUGGGGGUCUUGUUGGUGGGCCUCCCUUACUCCAUCUCUCUAGCUGCCCAGUGGCUUUACGGCUGGCCCAGCAAGCCGGGAUACAAGAAGUACAUAGAAGCUCUGAAACCACGACGAAUAUACUGUUUGACCAGAGCUGUGCUGGAGACUCUCAAAUACCUGCAAUAUGGGCGACUUUACUUUCAGUGGAAGUCAUGGUACAAGAAUGAGGAAAACCGCAAGCACUAUGAGAAGGGCAUCACAUUUGGCCGCAGAAACAACAAGCUGGACUUGUACCACCCUCCAAACGUGGACGGGUCAAAGGUGUGCCGGCGCCGCUGGUGGUGUUUCAUCUACGGGGGGAGCGUGGGGCUCCGGAGAUCGAUCCAUUUACUGUUUGAUGGCGAGGCAGAUGGCGAAAGAACUGAGUGCAACUGUCAUUUGUCCUGAUUACUUUGUCUAUCCGAAGGUAGGAGAACCAUACACUGUAGUCUGAGUAGUUUGAGCACACGAGUAUGAGUGACUGGAAAAUGAACGGUUUCUCAUAACUUUGUGAACAGGUAAGAAUUGUACUGCCGCUGUGGUGUCUGGACUGACUGCUCAUUCCAUCUGAUUGCUGAUACAGGCGAACGUUUUAGGCAUGAUCCAAGAUAUUGUGGACUGCCUCAUUUGGGCCCGAGAGAGUGGACAGAAGUUCAACUUUGAUAAAACCAGAAGUGGGACAAGAAUCGUAUCCUGUGGUCCCACCGCUGGGAGACGACUUUGGCGAGAGGACGUCGUCUCCAGAGACGGAGCGCUGAGGCUGCAGCGACUGAAAUUGCGCGAGACAACAUAGUAUUAAUCGGCCAUUCGGCAGGUGCUCAUUUGUGCACAUUGGCCGCGCUGUUUCUCAUUGACGGACGAGAGGAGCUUUUCAUAGAGGCAAGCAAGCAGGCGGACGUCACAGAGGCCAUAAGAGGAGUCAUUGGUCUGAGUGGCGUGUACAACAUCGUGGACCAUUACGAGCACGAGCAGAAGCGGGGAGUCGAGUACGUCUCCACCAUGCACAAAGCCAUGAAUGGAGUGGAGAACUUCCCGUACUACUCGCCGACACACUUACUGAAGAGGCUGAGCCGGGACAAGCUGGACAGAAUCCCUCCGUUUGCUCUGCUCCACGGGACCGACGACAUCAUCGUCCCCUUCGAUUCCUCCGCAAAGUUCUGCGACCUCCUCACCUCGCUGUCCGUGAAGGUGUCGCUCUACCUGCUCCCCCGCGUCGACCACACCGAGAUCGUCACCGACCUCAUGGUGCCCGACCGCCGCUUCUACCACCCCAUCUACAGCUGCAUCAAGCAGGAGCACAGGAAGCUGCUGGGGGCCUGGUGACGACCCGUCAGGAGAACACCCACCACUCGUCCAUCCAUCACUCGUAUUUACUGAUUGUGCCAUAUACUUGCUUUGUUUACGUCCCAUGCUCUAAUACCUCAACAUGAAUCGUGUUUAGCAUGGAUUUUUACUUGAUUGUGAUUCCGUGAUCAUGAUGUUUUUGAACAGAUUUUAAUUUGGUAAAUCUAAGGGUUACAUGUCAGUGAUUUUUCAUCUACAUUCUUUAAAAAUAAUAUUCCUUGUGGAAUGCAGUGUAGAUAACAUCAUUCUAAUGUUGUGUUGGAGAGAUGUUAGCUAGCUCACAGUAAAGGGAAAUCAAUCCAUAAGUGUUAUAAAAAGGACAGUGAAGCAGACUGAUACAUGCCGUGCAGUGAUACUGAUAAAGGAGCACAGUUACGACAGUACUGACUGCAACAUUUUGUCUAAUUGACUUUGGUGUUUUUAUUCAAUUAAAUUGUAAUAUAUUUUCCUGAAAAAAUAUUUAUUCAUCGUAGACACAUUAAACUCAUUCGAAUUAAACUAAUAUGACUACAAAUUGCUUGCACAAUGGAAUAUUGUACUUAAAUGUUUUGCCCAGCAAAAGCACUUAAAGAUUGUUAAUUGUACAAUUUUACAUUGUUUUUAACAUGUGCUUGUACUUUUGUUUCGGAAAGUUUUGUAUCAGAAGCGUGUCCCAUACAUACCAUACAUUUAAAAUGUCAUCAGGUAAUGGUUGUUGAAAACAUAAAUAUACUUUGUUGCAAUGUAUAAAACUCCAUUAAACCAUAUAAUGUAAGAGAACAUGCACAUCAUGAUUCCAUUCCAUGCAGUCACUGCAUAUGAGCGCCUAAUGGAAGUGAAAAUGGCCAUGGGACAUGUAACCAAAUAUUAGCACUGCUCUAUGUACUGUAUAUUUUUGACCCAGCAGAUGUUGUCACUUUUUCUGUUAUCCCAUAAUAAAGUCAUAAAAGAU
ensembl:lncRNA